UACGUAGGGGGCGAGCGUUGUCCGGAAUCAUUGGGCGUAAAGAGCUCGUAGGCGGCUUGGCAAGUCGGAUGUGAAACCUCCAGGCUCAACCUGGAGCCGCCAUUCGAUACUGCCAUGGCUAGAGUCCGGUAGGGGACCACGGAAUUCCUGGUGUAGCGGUGAAAUGCGCAGAUAUCAGGAGGAACACCGGUGGCGAAGGCGGUGGUCUGGGCCGGUACUGACGCUGAGGAGCGAAAGCGUGGGGAGCGAACAGG
rnacentral:rRNA from 1 species